AUUGAACGCUGGCGGCAGGCUUAACACAUGCAAGUCGAACGAGUGGCGGACGGGUGAGUAAUGGUUGGGAAACUAGCUUAAGGAGGGGGAUAACUACGGGAAACUGUAGCUAAUACCGCGUACCAUAGGAUGAGCCCAAGUGGGAUUAGGUAGUUGGUGGGGUAAAGGCUAACAAAGACGAAGAUCUCUAGCUGGUCUGAGAGGCUGACCAGCCACACUGGGACUGAGACACGGCCCAGACUCCUACGGGAGGCAUCAGUGGGGAAUAUUGCGCAAUGGGCGCAACCCUGACGCAGCCAUGCCGCGUGAAUGAAGAAGGCCUUAGGGUUGUAAAGUACUUUCAGCGGGGAGGCGUUACCCGCAGAAGAAGCACCGGCUAACUCCGUGCCAGCAGCCGCGGUAAUAC
rnacentral:rRNA from 1 species